rnacentral:piRNA from 1 species
CCCACACCGUCCCUUGCAAGGUGACAGGCC